rnacentral:misc_RNA from 1 species
UCCGAUUUGUCACCGGCAGUCUCCCAUGAGUCCCCGUCUUUCACGCUGGCAACAUGGGACAGGGGUUGCGCUCGUUGCGGGACUUAACCCAACACCUCACGACACGAGCUGACGACAGCCAUGCACCACCUGUGAGAGUGCCCCGAAGGGAGGACGUGUUUCCACGCCUGUCACUCACAUGUCAAGCCCAGGUAAGGUUCUUCGCGUUGCGUCGAAUUAAACCAUAUGCUCCGCUGCUUGUGCGGGCCCCCGUCUAUUCCUUUGAGUUUUAACCUUGCGGCCGUACUCCCCAGGCGGUCGACUUCACGCGUUAGCUUCGUUACUGAGAGUGUCAAACCCCCAACAACCAGUCGACAUCGUUUAGGGCGUGGACUAC